GCCCAGGUGGUGGAAUAGGGAGACACACUGGAUUUAGAUUCCAGCGCCUUACAGCGUGAGGGUUCGACCCCCUCUCUGGGCACCA
rnacentral:tRNA from 1 species